rnacentral:rRNA from 1 species
AUUGAACGCUGGCGGCAGGCCUAACACAUGCAAGUCGAGCGAGCGGCGGACGGGUGAGUAAUGUAUGGGGACUGCCCGAUCGAGGGGGAUAACUUAUGGAAACGGUGGCUAAUACCGCAUACGAUCGGAUAACCGAUAUGGGAUUAGCUAGUAGGUGGGGUAAAGGCGCACAAAGGCGACGAUGUCUAGCUGGUCUGAGAGGAUGAUCGGCAACACUGGGACGUAGAAACGGCCCAGACUCCUACGGAGGCAGCAGUGGGGAAUAUUGUACAAUGGGCGCAAGCCUGAUCCAGCCAUACCGCGUGUAUGAAGAAGGCCUUAGGGUUGUAAAGUCCUUUGAGUGGGGAGGCGGUACCCGAAGAAGAAGCACCGGCUAACUCCGUGCCAGCAGCCGCGGUAAUUC